rnacentral:lncRNA from 1 species
CCCAGUUUGUUGGGCAAACAAAGCCAGUUGGGCAGUAUUGGCUUAUUAUUCUGUCAAUUUUGUGGGAAAUAUGCUAUCUAAUAGGAAUUUUUCAUAGCAUCCUCCCCGCCCCCCCUGUUGACAACAAUUUCGGCAAGUUUCUCUCGAAAUUUUUUUUGACAACUCGGGCACAAUCCGAAAAAGUCAGGAAAAUUUCUUUCCGUCCACCUAAUUUUUUCCUUCCUGUAUGCCCAUGCCGAGGGUACAGUCACU